rnacentral:lncRNA from 1 species
CAGUCUGCAUGUGGGCAUAUCUUCAACUAAACGAUACUAGGCGGGGCUGCAAACUCUCCAAAGUACUGUUAUUUUCUACCUCAGAUAACCUUCAGUCCUUUAAAAAUAUCUAUUGCUGAAAAUAAGACCUCAGAUAACCUUCAUCCUUGGAUAACCCGCAUAAAAUCAAAGGCGAGGGACUAAUAGGAGAAAGGGGAUUUGGAAACAAACUUGUCCUCAUAUUGCCCACACAUGAAGAUCUCCAGCAGAGGCAGUUACUGGGAGAAGACAAUAUGCAUGCAGCCAUGAACCACACACAAGAACUCAAGGAAUUCACUAAUGCCUGGCUGGGUGUGCAACCAAGAGGGGGUGAAUAAUGGUAGAGAUAGAUGACAACAAUGGGCCAAAUCUGCCCUGACAUGAAUCUGCUUCAAUCCUGUUAAUGUUGGAGGAACUGUGGGGAGUCUAAAUUGGAGGAAAGUAUGAUCUCCAUCCAGUCCUAUUUCAAUGUCUGCUUUCUCUGAAGAUAAUGAGAUACAAGAGCACCAGCCACUGUAUGGAGUUACUCUCAAAUCAACAAUAAACAAAAAAUAGUUAAGUAAACUUACGUCUUUCUUUUAACACAGGAUCACACAUGCCUGUGUAAACUUAACUCAUCACUGACACAUUUAUAAGCAAGAAAUGGGGUGGUUUCGUUCCUCCUUGAUGACUUUGAAGACUGAAUUUGAGACCUCAGCUUAAGAAAAACACGGAUCUUUGUGCUAAAAUCUUAGCUCUGUUAUCUCAAAGCCACGAAGACAGAAAAGCUACAGUGAAACAGGACCUGAACAUGAG